UGGACGCCGAGCAAAACAGAGCGGCGUGAACGCGAGCUUCUUUUUGUUGUUGCUGCGCAGUAGAGAGAAAGACUGGCUCGGCUGAAUAGUUACUCGUCCCUUGCGGAGACCACAAUAUAUUGCAUUACGCCAGCAUCAAAAACCACGCAGCGGAAUUCCGAAACGCGGAAACGGCCCAUUCCACCUCUGAACGCGGAGACCUUGAGGCCCACGGCAGGUGCGUCCGGGCCAGGCUUGAAAGCGGCACUCACUGGAUAGCGAUGGUGACUGGCUGGUCCAUGGCACGGGGUCACAGCUGUCGGCCGCCGACCUAGAAGACCGCGACCCUUCUAUCACAUGCCUCGGCGAACAGACACUGAGGCAGCCGCGAGAGAGACGCUGCUGGCGCGGUGUUGUUUUCGUGACGUAGACCCCCUUCCUCGCGCCAGCUGACCCGAGCUGCUCGAUGUUGCCAGCCAGAGAGAGAGAAAGAGCAGACGAGCCGCCCCCGCCGGCAGAUGGUGCUGCCGCCACCCCCGACCCACCCUCGGGGUGCCGAAGCCCUAUUUCGACUCGAUCAAGCUUUCCACCCUCGCCCGCCCGCACCAAGUGCCGAAUCAAUUUUUAAUUUUUAUUCCGAGAGGUCGUCGACCUGCACACCGACUGAAGUGCGUCCACCGAAUUGUAAUGAGUCUAUUGAGCCACACUCGCUUUGAUUAGAGAUAAGAGAUGCUGAAAAGGCGCACGAGAGUAUCAUAUUGGCUUAUUUUUUAUGUGUGUGUUUUCUAAUAAAGAAAUUUAAACUCGC